GCGGCGGUGGCGGAAUCGGCAGACGCGCUAGCUUGAGGGGCUAGUUCCCAUUGCGGGAGUGGAGGUUCAAAUCCUCUCCGCCGCA
rnacentral:tRNA from 1 species